GGAGCUUGGUAAGGUCCAUUAGCGGCUGGCACUGGAGGAGAGGAAUCUCCUUCACCGAUACCUAGCGUUAGCUAGCUUAGUUCGAGCUGCAUCGGCGGCAUUCGGUCAAGCUCGGUGAAACUACGUCACUGGAUUUUGGAUCUCAGAUAGAUGAUUGCUUCUUCUUAUUCUUUCUUUUUUUUCUGUCUGCCUCUCUACUCCUGUUAGUGGUAAUCAGCGUCAGUUGCCUACCCAGAAGCUACCGGCGUGUUUCCAGCGUGCUACGUGUCUUACAACCGGAAGUACGAGCUAUAUCAUUAGCUCGAAUGCGCAUGUGCUGAAGAUUCCAGCAUGUUCCGAUUAUUUUUCCGCUUUUUUCUCUGUUGUUGUGCGGUUUUUAAAUAUUUUACCUCAUGACCACAAGUGACGCGACACCUGGAUCAGAAACACAYRAAGAUCCAGAUGGACGGAUUUGAAGUGCACAAUCACUGACAUCUCAGACUGGAUCCCCAGGCCCGGUUCUGGGUCCGGCAGUGCAACAGGCAUCCUGCUGCAGGCGGGUCCAACCCAAACAGARCAGCUUCAUGCAGAAGAGACAGGCUUCAGUUAGCCACUGCAGCGUUCGAUGCCAAAUGGGAACUCUGAGAUUAUUUAAAGGAAACAAGAAAUGACUAGAAGAAUGUUUGCAGCAUGAAGACAACCCUGGUCCUCCCAAAAGGGAUAGUUCCUCUUUGAAAAUUGUACUUAAAUACAGCYUAUGAGAGUCCAAGUUGUAAAAUAUUUCUUAGCUGAAUACAUAAAAUAACACGUACAAGUCUGCCACCGCUUUCAUCACUCCAGUCUUCAACGCGAACAGAGCUCUUGUGCUGUGUAGCAUGAGACGAAGUAAUUUAAAGAC